rnacentral:rRNA from 1 species
GUGGGGAAUAUUGCGCAAUGGGGGAAACCCUGACGCAGCGACGCCGUGUGAGGGAAGAAGGCUUUCGGGUCGUAAACCUCUGUCAGAAAGGAAGAACCUCCCAAGUCCGAAUAGGGCUUGGGACUGACGGUACUUUCAAAGGAAGCACCGGCUAACUCCGUGCCAGCAGCCGCGGUAAUACGGAGGGUGCAAGCGUUAAUCGGAAUCACUGGGCGUAAAGCGCGCGUAGGCCGCUUUGUAAGUCGGACGUGAAAGCCCUCGGCUCAACCGGGGAACUGCGUUCGAUACUGCGAGGCUUGAGUCCUGGAGAGGGUGGCGGAAUUCCGGGUGUAGGAGUGAAAUCCGUAGAUAUCCGGAGGAACACCGGUGGCGAAGGCGGCCACCUGGACAGGUACUGACGCUGAGGCGCGAAAGCGUGGGGAGCAAACAGGAUUAGAAACCCGGGUAGUCC